rnacentral:tRNA from 2 species
GGACGCAUAGCUCAGUUGGUUAGAGCGCUACGUUGACAUCGUAGAGGUCACUGGUUCGAAUCCAGUUGUGUCCA